rnacentral:piRNA from 1 species
UGAGACAAGACUACACCUUAUUCUGUGUGC